UAAAACUAUUCUCAGUUCGGAUUGUAGGCUGCAACUCGCCUACAUGAAGCCGGAAUCGCUAGUAAUCGUGGAUCAGCAUGCCACGGUGAAUACGUUCCCGGGCCUUGUACACACCGCCCGUCACACCACGAGAGUUUGUAACACCCGAAGUCGGUAGGGUAACCUUUAUGGAGCCAGCCGCCGAAGGUGGGACAGAUAAUUGGGGUGAAGUCGUAACAAGGUAGCCGUAUCGGAAGGUGCGGCUGGAUCACCUCCUUUCUAAGGAA
rnacentral:rRNA from 1 species